UCAUAGAUGGCUAGACAAAAUGGUUCUAGAAGUCCGUAAGCUCCAGGAAUUAUUUUUCAGGACAAUGUAGUGUCUACAGUGAGCCCCACUAUCUUUCACUAUACAAACUACAGUUCUACAAUGUAGUUCAAAAUGGUACUUUCUUAAAGGGGAAUUUAGUUAAGUUCAAACUUUCUAAAACCUCAUCCUACAGUUUCACAGGGUCUCUUCCCAGCCAUUGGUUUCAAAGAAGAAGAUGUGGUGGACACUAGAUCAUAAAGACUGAGUAACGGUAGUUUUAUUCAAGGGAAAAAAAAAAAAUCAGAAAACUGAUACUCUAAGAAAAUUAGCAUUUCGUGUCAUCUGAGAAUAAAUAUUAAU